CGAAUGGGGCAAGCGUUGUUCGGAAUCACUGGGCUUAAAGCGUGCGUAGGCGGACCUCCAAGUCAGGAGUGAAAUCCCAGGGCUUAACCCUGGAAUUGCUCUUGAAACUGGUGGUCUUGAAUCCUGGAGGGGUUGGGAGAAUUCCUAGUGUAGAGGUGAAAUUCGCAGAUAUUAGGAGGAAUACCAGUGGCGUAGGCGCCCAACUGGACAGGUAUUGACGCUGAGGUACGAAAGCGUGGGUAGCAAACAGGAUUAGAUACCCUGGUAGUCCACGCUGUAAACGAUGUGUGCUAGUUGUCGGAACUUCAAGUUUCGGUGACGCAGAGAAAUCAUUAAGCACACCGCCUGGGGAGUACGGUCGCAAGAUUA
rnacentral:rRNA from 1 species